UUGAUCAAGCUACAAAGAGUGUAUGAUGGAUGCCUUGGUGCCAAUAGGCGAUGAAGGACGUGGUAAGCUGCGAUAAGCCACGGUUAGCGGCAAACACGCUAUGACCCGUGGAUUUCCGAAUGGGGUAACCCGACUGGAGUCAUGUCCAGUCCCCGCCGUCUGAAUACAUAGGACGGUUGGAGCGACACCCGGUGAAGUGAAACAUCUCAGUAACCGGAGGAAUAGAAAGCGAAUGCGAUUCCGUAAGUAGUGGCGAGCGAAAGCGGAACAGCCCAAACCGGGAGACUUGUCUCCCGGGGUUGUAGGACCCCGAUAUGGUAGCUCAGAGAUUAGGUGAAGCCGAUGGAAACCGGCUCCCCAGAGGGUGAGAGGCCCGUAACCGAAAAUCCGAGAGCGCCUAGGGAGUUCCUGAGUAAUGCGAUGCACGUGAAACUUCGCAUGAAACUGUGCCGACCACGGCAUAAGGCUAAAUACUAAUUGGCGACCGAUAGUGAACUAGUACCGCGAGGGAAAGGUGAAAAGCACCGCUGCGAGCGGAGUGAAAUAGAACCUGAAAUCAUACAUUUACAAGGUGUCAAAGUCUGGCAACGGACGAUGGCGUGCCUUUUGCUUAAUGAGUCUGCGAGUUAUUGUCUGUGGCAAGCCUAAGCCCUUCCGGGGUGGAGGCGAAGCGAAAGCGAGUCCGAAAUGGGCGCUCAGUCGCAGGCAGUAGACCCGAAGCCGAGGUGAUCUACCCAUGGUCAGGAUGAAGGUGCAGUAACAUGCACUGAAGGUCCGAACAGAUGGACGUUGAAAAGUCCCCUGAUGAACUGUGGGUAGGAGCGAAAGACUAAUCAAACCCGGUGAUAGCUGGUUCUCUCCGAAAUAGCUUGAGGGCUAGCCUUGUGUGCUGAUGUGUGGAGGUAGAGCACUGGAUGAACUAGGGGCCAUACCCGGCUACCGAAUUCAAUCAAACUCCGAAUGCCACACAAUGAAACACAGGAGUCAGACAGUGGGGGAUAAGCUUCAUUGUCGAAAGGGAAACAACCCAGCCCUGCGGCUAAGGUGCCUAAAUAACGUUUAGUGGAAAGGAUGUGAGGUUACUUAAACAGUGAGGAUGUUGGCUUAGAGGCAGCCACCAUUUAAACAGUGCGUAAUAGCUGACUCAUCGAGUGAUCUCGCGCCGAAAAUGAUUGGCGAUAAGCGUUAUACCGAAGCCCGGGAUGUUCGUGCGGUUCGCCGCGCGGGCGUGGUAGGAGAGCGUUCUUUGUGCGUCGAAGCGGGAGGGUAACCAACCGUGGAGCGCAAAGAAGUGAGGAUGCAGACAUGAGUAGCGAUAAGACAGGUGAAAUUCCUGUCCGCCGUAAACCCAAGGUUUCCUGGGGAAGGUUCGUCCUCCCAGGGUUAGUCGGGACCUAAGCUGAUGCCGAGAGGCGUAAGCGAUGGAUAGCAGGUUUAAUAUUCCUGCACCGGCUGAAUUUAAGCCAUCAAGGGACGCUUGUGUGGAGUCAGUCUGCCGAUCGAAAGUGGCAGUCCGUCGCAAGACGGGACGUGGAGUCUUCGGACAAAGCGGAUCUGGUAAAACAUGAGCCGAGAAAAGCCUGAUGGUGUUCGUUCGGCCGCCCGUACCCUAAACCGACACAGGUGGGUGGGUAGAAUAUACCAAGGCGCGUGAGUGAAACCUCGUUAAGGAACUCGGCAAUCUAGCCCCGUAACUUAGGAAUAAGGGGUGCCUGCUUUCGAGCAGGCCGCAGUGAAAGGGGUCAACCGACUGUUUAACAAAAACACAGCACUCUGCCAAGUCGCAAGACCAAGUAUAGGGUGUGACACGUGACCAAUGCCGAAAGAUUACGGUAAGAGGUUAGCCGCAAGGCGAAGCUUCGAGCCCAAGUCCCGGUGAAUGUCGGCCGUAACUAUAACGGUCCUAAGGUAGCGAAAUUC
rnacentral:rRNA from 1 species